GCCUGGCCCUAAACAUUGAUGUUACCACACAACAUACAUCCGCCUGGGUACUACGGGCAUCAGCCUAAAACCCAAAGGACUUGGCGGUGUUUCAGACCCCCCUAGAGGAGCCUGUUCUAGAACCGAUAAUCCUCGUUUAACCUCACCAUCCCUGGUCCAACCCGCCUAUAUACCGCCGUCGCCAGCUUACCCUGUGAAGGUAUCAUAGUAAGCAGAAUGGGCACCGCCCAAAACGUCAGGUCGAGGUGUAGCGCACGGGGUGGGAAGAAAUGGGCUACAUUACCUGAUGCAGGUAAUACACGGACUGCUCGCUGAAAAAGAGCACGAAGGUGGAUUUAGCAGUAAGGGGAAAAUAGAGUGCCCCCCUGAAGCAGGCUCUGAAACGCGCACACACCGCCCGUCACUCUCCCCAAAUAGUAAUACAUCCGGUUUUCAACGCAACACACACAACAAGGGGAGGCAAGUCGUAACACGGUAAGUGUACCGGAAGGUGCACUUGGAAUAAU
rnacentral:rRNA from 1 species